GACGAACGCUGGCGGCGUGCUUAACACAUGCAAGUCGAGCGGUAAGGCCCUUUCGGGGGUACACGAGCGGCGAACGGGUGAGUAACACGUGGGUGACCUGCCCUCAGCUCUGGGAUAAGCCUGGGAAACCGGGUCUAAUACCGGAUAUGACUCCAUGACGCAUGUUGUGGGGUGGAAAGCCUUGUGCGGCUGAGGAUGGGCCCGCGGCCUAUCAGCUUGUUGGUGGGGUGAUGGCCUACCAAGGCGACCACGGGUAGCCGGCCUGAGAGGGCGACCGGCCACACUGGGACUGAGACACGGCCCAGACUCCUACGGGAGGCAGCAGUGGGGAAUCUUGCGCAAUGGGCGAAAGCCUGACGCAGCGACGCCGCGUGAGGGAUGACGGCCU
rnacentral:rRNA from 1 species